AAUACAUAUUGUAAGUCCCGCGUUAUAUGAAGGGAAAUAUUUUAAGCAUUAUCACGGUGGCAGCUGGCAUAGCUGGGACGGAGAACUAAUUUGGUGGUUUUAUAACCACGGACCAUUAUUUUUAAAAUUGAUAAUAUUAGCAGCAAUAAUUUUUGUACUGGUGACGUUAAAAAAUAAUAACACAUUUGUUGGAAAACGAAGAAAUAGUCAUAUAUCAUAAUUACACAG
rnacentral:lncRNA from 1 species